rnacentral:misc_RNA from 1 species
GGGUGCAAAUGAGGACAACGCCGAACAUUGCGAUGGCGGUAUUGCGACGCCAAUGCUUGGGCCUGCAGUAAGGGCCUCCACUCAUGCUCCACACCUUCGCCCUGAAAUCCCCAUGGGCACCCUCAGCUCCAUGACCAUGCUCUGCUCCUCCUCCCAUGUUCGAUCAAUUUUAUUGGUUCACUCUUCGUUCUCUCUCUCCCCCUCCUUCUUCGACUGAGAGAUGGCUGAAUAGAGCGGGAUCAGUCGUCCACCAGUGGCGGUUUGGUGCUCGUUGCCUCCGGGUGCUCGUUAAUCGUAUGGAGGCUGAUCGGAUAGUUUUGUUUUUUCACGUCCCC